rnacentral:pre_miRNA from 1 species
UACCCUGUAGAUCCGGACUUGUGGUCACUUCAUCACACAAAUCCGAUUUACAGGAUAGG